rnacentral:lncRNA from 1 species
ACACUUGGCGCCCACACAAUGAUGGGUUGCGCGCAUGCAAGACAUGGGCAUGGACACGGGCGGCAACCAGGGGCACCAACCCAUGCGUGCGCACUUGGGCGCACACACAGAUGGCACAGCAAGCACAAGGCUCGGCCAAGGCUGCAUCCGGCCGAGCGCUCCCAAGCCAAACAAGUCCAAGAUCAGCGCACGGGUCAAGCGCAGCCAAGAACACAGCAAGACAUCCGAG